UUUUGGUGCGGCCAACCGACAUGGGGCUGUCUCUUCACUCUCCCUCCCAUGAUUUAAUUGUCUGGGCUGGGAUGCUUGUGAUUGGUAGNUUGUGUAGUUGUACCUUGUUGUGGGUAGCCAAGUUGUCCCUCGAUGUAUAUUUGCUUGCCUUUCUGACAUUUUUUUGUCGUUUGGGCGGCCGCAAUGAUGGCAAAAUCCUUGGGUAGGUGCGCGGUCGAAUGGCCUUGUUGCUAUCACUUGGAUUUUUGCCGCCUCUCACAGAUGCAGUGCCUAGUGCUAGCUCUGCGUGACUUUACUCCGCAGACUUCGGGAGGUCCCUUGUAGGAAUCAUUGCGAUGUGGGCGCCGUUUGUCGUGUUGCUUGUUUGGCACGCAAAUCGUAUUGUUCUGUCUGGAGUCGGGAUGACGAAGGGCAAGAAUGAAGUGUCUGGGGCNUNGUUNCGUNNNNNGGAAUGCCUCUCAGAUUGUAUGNNCNNCNUNUNNNNNNUNNNUCCUGUGAAGGCCCGCCUGUUUGGGUUGGUGCUGGAGCAGACGCGACGGCUGUCGUG
rnacentral:misc_RNA from 1 species